rnacentral:rRNA from 1 species
GAUGAACGCUGGCGGCGUGCCUAAUACAUGCGAGUCGAGCGAACGGACGAGAAGCUUGCUUCUCUGAUGUUAGCGGCGGACGGGUGAGUAACACGUGGAUAACCUACCUAUAAGACUGGGAUAACUUCGGGAAACCGGAGCUAAUACCGGAUAAUAUUUUGAACCGCAUGGUUCAAUAGUGAAAGACGGUCUUGCUGUCACUUAUAGAUGGAUCCGCGCUGCAUUAGCUAGUUGGUAAGGUAACGGCUUACCAAGGCAACGAUGCGUAGCCGACCUGAGAGGGUGAUCGGCCACACUGGAACUGAGACACGGUCCAGACUCCUACGGGAGGCAGCAGUAGGGAAUCUUCCGCAAUGGGCGAAAGCUUGACGGAGCAACGCCGCGUGAGUGAUGAAGGUCUUCGGAUCGUAAAACUCUGUUAUUAGGGAAGAACAAAUGUGUAAGUAACUGUGCACAUCUUGACGGUACCUAAUCAGAAAGCCACGGCUAACUACGUG